rnacentral:rRNA from 1 species
UGACUCUAAGUUUAACGGCCGCGGUAUUCUAACCGUGCGAAGGUAGCGCAAUCAAUUGCCUUUUAAAUGAAGGCCUGUAUGAAUGGUAUAACGAGGGUCUGACUGUCUCUUUUUUCUAGUCAGUUAAACUGAUCUGUCCGUGCAGAAGCGGACAUUAUUAUACAAGACGAGAAGACCCUAUGGAGCUUUAGACACUAGCCAACUGUGAAUGAGCGACUGAACUAUACAAGUCUUAAAUACCCACAGCCUCUGGUAAUGUAGUCUUAGGUUGGGGCGACCACGGGAGAAAAUAAAGCUCCCAAGCAGACCGGGAAAACCCUUAAGCCCAGAGUUGCAACUCUAAGCCGCAAAAAUUUUGACUGAAAUGAUCCGGUUGAAAAACCGAUUAACGAACCAAGUUACCCUAGGGAUAACAGCGCAAUCCUCUCCCAGAGUCCCUAUCGACGAGGGGGUUUACGACCUCGAUGUUGGAUCAGGACAUCCUAAUGGUGCAGCCGCUAUUAAGGGUUCGUUUGUUCAACGAUUAAAGUCCUACGUGAUCUGAGUUCAGA